CGCAUUUAACAUCAUUAUUAACAUGUAAAUAAUAUAAUUCGUAAACAUAACGUUUAUGUUAAUUUAUAAUAUGUUUUUUUUUUUAUUGUUGGCUUUAAGUUAAUUUGUCUGUCAGACUCAGUUUGUUCGUGUUGUAGCCUGUUAACAGUAGACCAAAGGUAUGAUGAUCAAUUAUAAAUGCAAUAUGGUUGAAAGCUUGACAAAAAUGUAGCUUGAAGGAGAAGGGACAGCUGAGUAACAAAGUCCUGGUACGCAGACGACGAUACUAUUACACUGACAAGAGUGUAAUGAUGAUGGAGACACAAGCCAGAGAAAGUGGGGACCAAACACCAGGCCAUAAUUCUGCAUGAGUCAGAUCCAGUGGGUGCAGAUCAUCAUACAGAUGGUUCAAGUGUGGAUCCACCUAAUAUUCAAGCUCCAGUGGGCAUCCUUUAUCCAUCCAGACCCUCAUACAGAUGGUUGGAGUUUUGAUUCACCUAAAGUACCAUGCAAGAGCACUCAUUUUCCCUCUUGAGACCAUGGUGUGACCUGCAAGGUUGAAUGGAGACUGUAAACGAGACAAUCUUGGAGUCACCUGCAUUCACUGGUCCAGUUGUUAGUCCAAUUACAGAUGGAGAUUAUAGUAGAGGAUGAUGUCUUUUCUCCAACAUCUUUCUAGACUAAUAAAAGAUCUAGACAGGCUCGAACAAAAGUUAACAGAGGGGCUUAUAUAGAGAAUGGUGAGCAGCUACACAUGAAAGAAGAACAUGGAGAAUCUGCCCAGAGGUGUUAACCAGCAAUGCAGCUAUACAACUAAAUUGAUGCAGGCGGAAACAAUAAUGCAGCUGCUGCAGAUGAAGAAUCUGUCCGUCUACCACUGAAGGAGACGCGGAAAAUCGGGAAAAGAUGUUCUUUGCCCGAGGAAGCAUUUGAUUAAUUUAAAGAUAGGCUAUUGUGUUUUUUUGUAUGUUAUAGAAAAACGUUGCUUUUUUGCAUAAACUCGUGUAAAUAUGCAUCUUAUGAA